rnacentral:snRNA from 1 species
AUACUUACCUGGCAGGGGAGAUAAAAUGAUCACGAAGGUGGUUUUCCCAGGGUGAGGCUUAUCCAUUGCCCUCUGGAUGUGCUGAUCCCUGAGAUUUCCCCAAAUGUGGGAAACUCGACUGCAUAAUUUGUGGUAGCAGGGGACUGA